UACAGAGGUCCCAAGCGUUGUUCGGAUUCACUGGGCGUAAAGGGUGCGCAGGUGGGUUGGCAAGUUCGAUGUGAAAGCCCCGGGCUUAACCCGGGAAUGGCAUUGGAUACUGCUGAUCUGGAGGAUCGGAGGGGGGACUGGAAUUCUUGGUGUAGCAGUGAAAUGCGUAGAUAUCAAGAGGAACACCAGUGGCGAAGGCGAGUCCCUGGACGAUACAUGACACUGAGGCACGAAAGCCAAGGGAGCAAACAGG
rnacentral:rRNA from 1 species